rnacentral:rRNA from 1 species
UACGUAGGGGGCGAGCGUUGUCCGGAUUUACUGGGCGUAAAGAGCGCGCAGGCGGUCGUUUAAGUCGAAUGUGAAAGCCCCCGGCUCAACUGGGGAGGGUCACGCGAUACUGCGUAGCUAGAGUCCUGGAGAGGAAGGUGGAAUGCUUGGUGUAGAGGUGAAAUUCGUAGAUAUCAAGCGGAACACCGGUGGCGAAGGCGGCCUUCUGGACAGUGACUGACGCUGAGACGCGAAAGCGUGGGGAGCAAACAGG